rnacentral:rRNA from 1 species
GACGUAGGGCGCGAGCGUUGUCCGGAUUUAUUGGGCGUAAAGAGCUCGUAGGCGGCUUGUUGCGUCGACCGUGAAAACCCGGGGCUCAACUUCGGGCUUGCGGUCGAUACGGGCGGGCUAGAGUUCGGUAGGGGAGACUGGAAUUCCUGGUGUAGCGGUGGAAUGCGCAGAUAUCAGGAGGAACACCGGUGGCGAAGGCGGGUCUCUGGGCCGAUACUGACGCUGAGGAGCGAAAGCGUGGGGAGCGAACAGG